rnacentral:rRNA from 1 species
AAAUUCAAUUUACAUAAUUUACCAGAGUACUACGAACAUAAGGUUUAAAACUCAAAGGGCUUGGCGGUGUUUUAGACCACUCAGGGGAACCUGUCUCAUAAUCGAUGAUCCACGUUAAACCUGACCUUUUUUUGCAUUCAGCUUGUAUACCGUCGUCGUCAGGUAACUUCUAAAAAACUAAAAGUUAGCGAAAGAAUUUAUGAAUUAUAAUGUCAGAUCAGGGUGCAGCUUAUAAAAAGGGGAGGAUGGGUUACAAUUAUAAAUCUUAAUUACGGAAGAUCGUUAGAAUUAACUGAUCUGAAGGAGGACUUGAAAGUAAUUUUAAAUAUACAAAUUAUAUGAAUAAGGCUCUGAAAUGUG